rnacentral:rRNA from 1 species
UGUCGCCUACGGGGGGCAGCAGUGAGGAAUAUUGGUCAAUGGGCGGAAGCCUGAACCAGCCACGUCGCGUGAGGGAGUAAGGCCCUACGGGUCGUAAACCUCUUUUGCCGGGGAGCAGUGCCCAGCUCGUGAGCUGGGAGGGAGCGUACCCGGAGAAAAAGCAUCGGCUAACUCCGUGCCAGCAGCCGCGGUAAUACGGAGGAUGCGAGCGUUAUCCGGAUUUAUUGGGUUUAAAGGGAGCGUAGAUGGGUUGUUAAGUCAGUUGUGAAAGUUUGCGGCUCAACCGUAAAAUUGCAAUUGAUACU